AAUAGCUUAUGACUAAGAUCACAAAAUCAUCGUAUGAAAUAUCACUUUGGACUGUCAUAGCUAUCAUCUCUAGCAUUUCACUCUCCUUCCAGUGCCAUACAUAUCGAUUGCUCUUCUCGAUCCAUUGACUAUGACAAUCCACUCCUAUUGUUAUUGAUCCCUCCAUUAGUGGUACCUAAAUAAAGUAAUUUGUUAAAAAAAGUUAAUAAUGAUUUCAUAGUGCCAUAACAUGAAUCCCAACAGAUGUGUAACCUGUUGCAACAGAUAAGUGAUCAAUCGCAACAAAUUACUAACCUGUUAGAAUUAUGUUACGCUUCUGGAGCUGAUUUCAACAGAUGAGUCAUCUGUUAUAACAGGUGAAACAUCUGUUGCAACAGACUAUGAGGUUGUUGGAACGAUUAUAGGUUCUGUUGCAACCGGUUAUUAAUCUGUUGCAAUAGAUAUUUACCCUACUGCAAUAGAUAACUAGUUUAUCGGAAUUGAGCUUAGGUUCUGUUACAACAGGUAACUAAUCUGUUGCAAUAGAUAUUUACCCCUAUUGCAAUAGAUAACUAGUUUGUUGCAACAGAUAACCCAUCUGUUCGAUUCAAUCAUAAACAUAAAUCCAACAUAUCUCUUCCGUUGCAACAGAUGGCUCAUAUGUUGUAACAGAUGAUUGAUUUGUUUAAACAGAUGUCUCUUAUGUUGCAUUCAUGUUCGUGUGCUAUCUAUUGUUGAAAAAACAGCACAAUAACUGUUACCUAGAUGACAAAUUCAACUAAAAAUCAUAAUUUGACUUAUCAAAGUCUCCCGUGAAGUAAUGCCAAAGUGGAAAGUUAUGUAUGAAAUAAAAUUUUACCUAAGAAAUUAGUCAGAUAGCACCAGUAGCGGUAACAAAAACGAUAAUGGUCAACAAGAAGAAGAUAAAGAUGAUAAUGAAGUAGAAGAUGAUGAUAAUGAAGCAGAAGAUGAUGAAGAAAGCAGCAACAAUAAUGAACAACAAAAAUCGCUAAUAGAAAGAAAACAACAAUAGAUGAGAAGAGGGAGAAACACGUCUUUUUUCUCUCUGUUUCUCAUUAUAUUAGGUAAAUAUUUGGAUCAAAGUGUAUAUUUAAAAACAUCUGGGUUAUUUUGAAAUUUUUCCAACUUUCUUAAUCCUUAAUAAAGUAAUUGUCACCUCUACUCAAUUAUUAAGACUUAUAUCACCUACACUUCAUUUUAAAAUUCUUUUAUCACCUACAGCUCAAAGCCUCUAGUGAUUAAGGCUAUUGAAGUUGUGUGUAGACGGUUCUUAUGGACAGAAGGCACUGAGAAGUCCCAUAAGCACUAGUUUCUUGGAAAACACUCUGCAAACCAAUCUCUCCCAGAGGGCUUAAUAUUGAUGAUAUAUUGACAUGGAAUAAAGUAGCAAUAUGUAAAAUGCUCUGGAACAUAUGCAACAAAAAAGAUAAGCUUUGGAUUCAAUGGAUUCAUACGUACUAUGGGAAGAAGUGUCCAAAAUGGGCAGUAUAUCCUAAGCAAGCAUCAUGGGUCCUAAAAAAGAAAGCCAGUUGGUGGGUAAGGAAAGCAGGCCUCCAACUAAUUGAUUUUGCAGAUAUAGAUAAGUAUUCUAUAAAAACAAUGUACCUUAAACUCAGGGGAAAUUUCCAAAAGGUAACAUGGCAUAGGCUAAUAUGCAAUAAUAUGGGGGCUCAAAGAUAGAAAUUCAUACUCUACCUUGCAAUCUUAGGCAGGUUGAGUACCAAAGAGAGACUAGUUUUUUGGGGUGUGGUGGAUGAUCUACUAUGUCUUUUAUGUGGACAGGGGGAUGAAUAUACUGAACACUUAUUCUUCGACUGUUCUUUCUCUGCUUCUAUCUGGACUAAUUUACUAAAGUGGCAAGGUAUAGAUAGACAACCUGCUAGAUGGACAGAAGAACUAACAUGGUUUGUGGCCAACAUGCAAGGGAAAUCUGCACAAGCAGAGGUGUAUAGAGCAACAGUAACAGCUGGUGUAUAUCAUCUAUGGCAAGAAAGGAACUUGAGGGUCUUCCAAAGUAAACAAAGGACACCUACUAUACUUACAAGGCAGAUCAUCCAAGAGGUGUACCUUAGAGGAUCGCUGAAGAUCCAACUAGCACUUAGACUACUAGAUCUUAAUUUUUUUCCUUAGUGAUUUAACCUACAGUAGCAAAGUUAUGCUCUUGCUUAGUUUGGCCUGAAACUUGGGACUAUAUCCAAGAGCAGGAACUAAGUAGGAAUUUUGUUAUUUGUGCUACACUCAUCUUACUUUGGUAAUAAAAUUAUUGAGUUACCAAAAAAAAGCAUGAACUUGUUAAAAAUUUGAAUCACUUUAUCUGUAAUCAUACGUUAAAGACAUCUUUUUUUCUUCCCCAGAGUCAUCCCAAAUUCAAUAUUUAGAAUUCUUAAAGAACCAUCAAGAUCCUAUUCAUUUUAUUCCUAUCAAUCUAAAUCACAAAACAAAAGAAUAAUUUAAAUAGUACCUUUUGCAUUGCGAUCAUUCAUGCAACCAAUUGGUCUUUAAUUGUUUUGUCGACAUGUAACCUCAUGUGUGCACGAUCCUCUUCUAGUGUACUUUGUAACUAAGCAGUCGUUUGUUCACGUUCUUCUUGCAUUUUCCUAUUCAUUUCUGCACAUACUUAUAGCUAUAAUGGUAAAAAUAAGGUAAUUCUAAUAUAUAACUAUAUAGGCUUUUAUGUAUAGCAAUCUGAGAGAAUUUAUAGUUAAAACCUCUAUUGCUAUCUAUCAUUUUUCUGCUUACUACAGAGGAUAGAUAAGUGUUCGAUUGUAUUUUAAGAGAUUUUUACGUAAAAGUUAGGUUAAAUCGUAUUGUUUAGAUAUCUUAAUUAUCGUAUUGUUUUGUCGUAGUCUCUGCUUUGUUGGUAUAAGCUAUUGUUUCUACUUAAUACAAGUGGCUAGAUGAAUGUUCGGUUGGACUAUAAAUAAUUUUUGUAUAAAGAUAAGGUUUAAUCGUACUAUUAUGAUAUCUUGAUUAUCAUAUUGUUUGUCUGAUUUGUUGCUAUUGCUUUUUUUUUUUUCUGGUUAAUACAGGCGGUGGAUGAAUGUUCUUUCGGGCUUUAAAUUUUUUUUUUUAUAAAAGUGAGGUUUAAUCUAUUGUUGCAAUAUCUCGAUUUUCAUAUUGUUUGUCUGUUCUGUUGCUAUCUGCUUUUUUUCUGCUUAAUACAGUUGAUUACAGGAGAAGUUACAACACUAAGGUUAGUUUGUGUCGUAGUUUUUUCUUAUUCUUAUUGGGAUAAUUUUUUUCUUUUGAGUAGGAGUCCAUUUUUUGUUCCUCAAACUAUUAUUAUUAUUAUUUAUAUUUAUUGUAAAAAAAAUAAGGAUUUUUAAACUGAAAAUUGAUUAUAUUAUACAUAAGAUGUUUUCUCUUAUCAUAACUUAACAAUAUAUGGAAAAAUCAGAUGAAAAAAAUAAGGAAAAAGGGUCUAAAAUAUAUUCAAACUUUGAUGAAAUUUGUUGUAACAUAAUCGAACUUUGCGGGGAUUUUAUGACGCCCCUAAACUAUUUAUUUGUGUAUUUUUGUGACGUUUAUAAGCUAAUAAAUAAAAGAAUUUAGUGCAAAUAAAUGUCAGUAAAAUACUCUAAUAAACAAUUCGAGGAGGGGGGGGGGGUCAUAAUACGCUAAUAAAUAGUCUCUUGCAAAGUUCAUGCGUGUUACAAUAAUUUUCGUCGAAGUUUUGAUAUAUUUCAGACCAUUUUUCAAAAAAUAACUACCUUGAAAAAAUAAGAAAACUUUUAACGUGAGCAAGUAAGAAAAUAAUCCCCAUAAUUGAUUUUUACUUUUUUUUCAAAUAAAUACUUCUAUAAAUUGAAGCUAAUGUAUAGAGAUUUAUAAUUUUAAAAUUAUUUUCUUUGUCUUAAUUUACGACAUAGUUGAAAUUUCAAGAUUCAAAUUAAAUUUAUUUUUUUUUCGAUUGUGAAAAAGAUCAGUUGAAAUAAAACAGACAAAAAAAAAUUUGAUAAAACAUUUAUUCAUAUAACCUAACUUUGUUCGUCUUAUAAAUAUAUUUUUCAACGAUUGAUGCGAGACACACGUGCAAAACACGUACACUAAGCUAGUUAUUAUUAUUAUAUAUAUGAGAUAUAAUUUAAGGACCAAACUCAAUUUCACAACCAACAUUCUUAACAAAAUCACAAUACUCACAUUCAUGCUUAACAAAAAUAAUCACAAUACAAUAUUAUGAAGACAUUCAUGCUUAACAAAAAUAAUCACAAUACAAUAUUAUGAAGGAAGAAGGAUUGAUCACUAUUAUUAGCAUCGAUGGAGGUGGCCUAAGACGAAUUAUUCAAGCCAUUGUUCUUAGUUUUGUCGACCAACUUCAGGUUUUUUAUAAUAAAUAUAUUGUAUUACAUAAUUAUAUAUGUAUGUUUUAUCUGUCUGUAACUUCUUUUAUUUUAAUAUUUUAUAAUUUGCUUUUAUAGUUGUUGGGUGGAAAAGAGGACUUGUAGAAUAUUUUGAUUUCAUAGCUGGAACGAGUAUUGAUGGCGUCAUGCUAGCUUCAUCAUAUCGUCCACUUUAUGAAACUAAAGACAUUCUCCAUUUUACCUAUAUAAUUGCCCCUAGAUUUUUCUUGUUCUUCACGUUUUAAUUUCUAAUUUAUGUUUGAAAUGUAUAGUGCUUUAACUGCAUAACCAAAACAUUAUAACCCAAAUUGAAACAUUAUGUCCCAACUUGACUAAACCCAAAACAUUAUGACCCAAAUUGACUAAACCCGAUCUGGUUUAUUGUAAUUUAUUGUACAGAUUAUGGCAUCUUCUGAUCGUAACUCUGAUCCUAAUAGUGAAACUCUUCCUAAUUCUGAUCCUAGUAAUUUUUUUGACAAAUGCAUGUGAAUGUGAUGUGUGCGAUAUGAUGAAAUCUCUAAUAAGACCGAAAAAUAAUGUAAGGUCUCAAUAAAAUUAGUAGUCUAAAAUCAACUUUUAAAAUAAGGCCUUAUAUUAUUAAUAAUUUAGAGUUAUUUUUUUAUUCUUACGUACAAUUUUUAGUCUAGUAUUAUUAGAAGACAUUAAGCAUUUAAUUUCACAUAGUAAUAUUAUUUAUAUAUAAAAGUAAGGACUAAUUUUAAUUAAUAAGAUAUUAGUCAUUUGCUUGCAAUGCAUUAUCUUGAAUAUUAUUGUGAAAAUUUAAUUUAUUAAUAUGAAGAUUUGAUAAAAAAUUCUAAAAUAUUUUUGAUAAAAAGUAGAUAGCUUUUUUCUUUUUUUAUUAAUUUAAAUUUUAUGCUUUUUCAUUUACAAUCUUUAAUAUUAUUUUAAAUAAAAUUAAAAUCAUAAUAUAAAAUAUUUUGGGGCCUCAAACUUUUGAGGAGUUGAAGCAGACAUUUUACUAUCACCCCAGAUACCAUGGCAAAUACCUACACAAGGUCAUAAGAGACAAGUUAAAAAAUAUUUCCAUUAGUGAGACUACCACUGACAUUGUCAUUCCUACCUAUGAUAUCAAAAAGAGACAUCAAACAAUUUUCUCCACUUAUAAGGUAUAUUGUGACGCCCCAAAUUUUUGGGGCCUGUCACUUGCCAGGAUUGUGCGUGCCAACUAGGCCGCAACCUUGUCAGCUAUGCAGGCGGCAUGUGCUGAGGGAAUAUGCUGAAGUUGAAGAUGAGGCAAAGGGGCAUAACAUGAGGCAACAAGCAUCUAUAUAUGUUGCAUAACAUGCCCUAAGAGUGCCAAUGUGAUUUGGAGAGGGCUUGGUGUGAGCCCAAGGGGGCGGAGGCAUGGUGAGGAUCGUGUGCGGUGUUCGAUGUCAGCGCCGUGCCAUUUUGAGCUACAAGUGAAAUCUAAGGAUUCUGGUUUAGAGAGUUUAUAUUUAUGGUACCUUAUGUAUGCUUACCAAAUUUGGGGUCGUUUGGAGUCCGUUUGGAUAGGGGCUUGACUUGGCAAAGUCCAGUGGCAUUGUCGUAAUUUGCUGAUUGGUCCGAAGGCCAUAACUCGUUCCAUGUGUAUGGGAAUGGGGAGAAACUUCAUGGAGGUGUGAAGGAAGUCAAGAGAAAGGAGUAGGAACAAACGGCACCCAAUUUGAAGGUCGGAUGAAUGAUCUAAUCCCAAGUAUGAUUCUCGGGCAAAAUGAUGUCUAGUGGCGGAUAUUGGGAUUAUUUAUUUUAAGCAUAUAUAAGGGGGGUAUGAAUGGUGACAGCCUACCAACCUCUNNNNNNNNNNNNNNNNNNNNNNNNNNNNNNNNNNNNNNNNNNNNNNNNNNNNNNNNNNNNNNNNNNNNNNNNNNNNNNNNNNNNNNNNNNNNNNNNNNNNNNNNNNNNNNNNNNNNNNNNNNNNNNNNNNNNNNNNNNNNNNNNNNNNNNNNNNNNNNNNNNNNNNNNNNNNNNNNNNNNNNNNNNNNNNNNNNNNNNNNNNNNNNCUCCAAGCCGAUAGAGCAAUCGAGAUACUCUCCCCAAGAGACUCAUGAGCUAACUUGUGAGCUUGGUCAAGGUUCAGCCAAGCGAGCAAGGGUCCGUUGGCCAAGGAUUGAGGGUUGCCCUACUCGGGCGAAGCAAAGGCCAAGUGCACAUGCAUGAGGCGAUGUCAAGCUUGAGGAUAGGACUGUGCAUACAAUGGCAAUGCUCAGGCCAAGGCAAGGGACGAGUAUGUCCGUAGCCAUCCCCAGGAGCGCAUAUGGAUGAGAUCCACGGAUUAAAGGUGCGCCAGAAGAGUUGCUUAUACGUUGGCCAUGUCAGCCGACAUGUUGAAGGAGCGACACCAAAGGGGGCAAGCCUCUGAGGCGAGCUUCCCACAGGCACAGGAUCGUGCUAAAGACCUGGGAAAUGAGGAAGGCUGGCCCAUAGUUGGGGGAACCAUGGGCGCCUCACGGACAAAAUUGUGUGCCGCUGACACGUUGAAAAAUGAGCCCGUGACAAUAUACUCUACUAUGAUAACUAUGUUAUGUUGUUCUAACUCUACAAAAAUAUCUAAUGGGUGUAUGUAUGUAUGUAUGCAGGCGAAACAUUUAAGACCGAUAUUUGCAUCAGCACAUCGGCAGCUCCUACUUAUCUUCUUGCUCAUUGUUUCAAAGUUGAAGAUGGAAAAGGCAACUUUGUAGAACAUAUCUCAUUGAUAGUGGUGUUUGCAAAUAAUCCGAUAUGUAUCUAUGUAUGUAUGUAUAUACUUCAGCGAUUUUGUUUUAUUGGUGUACUUACUAUAUCAAGUUUAAUAUUAUUAACCAUUUGCUUCAAACUUAGGCUUUGGAAGCAAUAAGUGAAGCACAACAAAUGCAUAGGUAUGAUAAAAGGGACUUGUUAGUAAUGGACAGGAACCCAAAAGAAUGGAAGCAAAUAUGAUGCAUACAAGGCAGCCAAAUGGGGAUCAUUGAAUGGUUAUUUUAUAAAGGUUCUACCCACUAAUCGAAGUUCCCACACAAUAUAUCAAGUGCAGAUUUGGCUUGAAGUUAUCACACAAUCAAGUGCAGAUUUGGUCAGAUCAUCAUAUUUCUACCCCUUUCCAUGUUUUAUUCAGUGACGAUACCUACCUUAGAAUUCAAGUAUGUUAGCAUGAAAUUCACUUAUUCCUACCUACUACUCUAGUUUUAUAUAUUUAUAUAUAAACUAGAUACCCGUACCCGUGCAAGGCAUGGACAUUUUGACAACACUAAUGUAUUCAACUUUGGAAAAAAAAAUUUCCUAAUUGUUUUAAUUGUUUAGUAUAGGAAUAAAAAAAGAAAUGUAGUACAAUGAAUCAAUGUUAACAUAAUAUAUACAUUCAGUGUGGAACAAAAUUGAGCUUGCUAGACUGAUUCAACCAAUACAAAAGUAAUUAUAUAAGUCGAUAAAUAUCUAGUUAGAUUGUUGUAACUACAGUUGACGGCAUGUCUUUUAUUUGGACAUUCCUGGAAAAGUACAUGAUGCACGUCUUAUUUGAAAGUUUCAAAUAUAUAAGUUGGAGGAGAUAUCGUCGAUUUCAAAAUAUUUAUUGUACCAUAAAAUUAUCGAAAUACCAUUGGUUAUUUAAUAAGGAAUAAAAAGAUAUUUAUAAAAAAUUACUAUCAUGUAUAAUUUAAUUACAAAGGUCUAAAUAAAAAAUAUUAUUAAAAUAAUACAUGAGGACAAAACUAAUAAAUAUAAGAAAAAAUCAAAAUGCAUGUGUAAUCAUUUUAUUGCACCAUAAAAAAAAGGACAAAACUAAUAAAUAUAAGAAAAAAUAAUAUGCAUGUGUAACCAUUUUAUUUCACCAUAAAAUUACCGAAAUACCCUUGGGGUAUAAAGAACAAGUAAUUUAAUAAGGAACCAAAAAAUAUUUAUAAGAAAUUACUACAAUGUAUAAUUCAAUUACAAAGGUCUAAAUAAAAAUAUUAUUAAAAUAAUACAUGAGGACAAAACUAAUAAAUAUAAGAAAAAAAUAUUCAUGUGUAAUCAUUUUAUUGCACCAUAAAAUUAUCGAAAUACCUUUGGUAGUCAUUUAAUAAAGAACAAAAAGAUAUUUAAAUAAAAAUAGUACCAUGUAUAAUUGAAUUACAAAGGUCUAAAUAAAAAUAUUACUAAAAUAAUACAUGAGGAUAAAACUAAUAAAUAUAAGAAAAAAUUAAUAUCCAUAUGUAACUAUUUUAUUGCACCAUAAAAAUGAGUUUAAAACUAAUAAAUAUAAGAAAAAAGCAAUAUGCAUGUGUAAUCAUUUUAUUGCACCAUAAAAUCAUUGAAAUACUCUUGGUAGUCAUUUAAUAAGGAACAAAAAGAUAUUUAACGAAAAAAAGUAUCAUGUAUAAUUCAAUUACAAAGGUCUAAAUAAAAAUAUUAUUAAAAUAAUACAUGAGAAUAAAAUAAAUAAAUAUAAGAAAAAAGCAAUAUGCAUGUAUAACCAUUUUAUUGCACAAUAAAAAUGGGGACAAAAGUAAUAAAUAUAAGAAAAAAAUCAUAUACAUGUAUAACCAUUUUAUUUACUACUAUAUAUAAGUAAAGGUUGGGGUGACUAAAAUUACUGAACUACCUUUGGUAGUCACCCCAACUUUCACUUAUAUAUAGUAAUAAAUUAAAAUAAAGUAAUAAUAGUAAUAAUAAUAAUAAUAAUAAUAAUAAUAAUAGUAGUUAAAAAUAUAUAGUAGUAAAAUAAAGUAAUAAUAGUAACAAUAAUAAUAAUAAAAUAAUAGUAAUAGUAGUAGUAAUAGUAAUAGCAAAAAAAUAAUAUUAUAAUAAUAGCAAUAAUAACAAUAAUUGUUAUGAAAAACAAAAGCAAGAACAAGAAAAUAUAAAGCAAGAACAAGAAUAAAUAGAGAGAAGAUGAGAGAAUUCUUUAUUUCUCUUGAGGGUGAGAGAUCAUAAGAUUGAGAAUACAAUGAACAAAACUUCUCUAUUUAUAAGAAAAAAUACUCCUAAUUUUUUACUAAAAGACAGAUACUUCAAAUCCUGAUAGAUAUCAACCAGAUCUUGAUAGAUCUGGAUAGACAUUCACUAUAAUGUAAAUACAUUUAUAAUAAUAAUAAUAAUAAUAAUAAUAAUAAUAUAUAAUUACUUAUAAAUGAAGGAUUAGUGUACUGCACAAAAAGAAAACAAAUAAAUAUAAGAAAAAAACAAUAUGCACGUGUAACCAUUUUACUGCACAAUAAAAAUGAAGUCAAAAUUAAUAAAUAUAAGAAAAAAACCAUGUGCAUGUAAAGGUUGGGGUGACUGAAAUUACCGAACUACCUUUGAUAGUCACCCCAACCUUCACUUAUAUAUAGCAGUAAAGUAAAGUAAUAAUAGUAAUAAUAAUAUAAUAAUAACAAUAAUUAUUAUUAUUAUUAUUAUUAUAAUAGUAAGGGUAAUAGUAAAAAAUAUAUAGUAGUAAAGUAAAGUAGAUGAUGAUGAUGAUGAUGAUGAUGAUGAUGAUGAUGAUGAUGAUGAUGAUGAUGAUGAUGAUGAUGAUGAUGAUGAUGAUGAUGAUGAUGAUGAUGAUGAUGAUGAUGAUGAUGAUGAUGAUGAUGAUGAUGAUGAUGAUGAUGAUGAUGAUGAUGAUGAUGAUGAUGAUGAUGAUGAUGAUGAUGAUGAUGAUGAUGAUGAUGAUGAUGAUGAUGAUGAUGAUGAUGAUGAUGAUGAUGAUGAUGAUGAUGAUGAUGAUGAUGAUGAUGAUGAUGAUGAUGAUGAUGAUGAUGAUGAUGAUGAUGAUGAUGAUGAUGAUGAUGAUGAUGAUGAUGAUGAUGAUGAUGAUGAUGAUGAUGAUGAUGAUGAUGAUGAUGAUGAUGAUGAUGAUGAUGAUGAUGAUGAUGAUGAUGAUGAUGAUGAUGAUGAUGAUGAUGAUGAUGAUGAUGAUGAUGAUGAUGAUGAUGAUGAUGAUGAUGAUGAUGAUGAUGAUGAUGAUGAUGAUAAUAAUAAUAAUAAUAAUAAUAAUAAUAAUAAUGGUAAUAGUACUACAACAACAACAUACCCAGUGUAUUUCCAUAAGAGUGGGGUCUGGGGAGGAUAAGAUGUACGCAGUUCAUACCGCUAACUCCGAGGAAGUAGAGAGGCUGCUUCCGAUAGACCCCCAGCUCAAAGUAGAGAACAGUAAACAAAGGGAUGAAAAACAUAAUAGAAAAUCAGGAAUAAUAAAUAAUAAAAUAGACAUCAGAGAAAUAUGAAAUACGAGACAUAAGGGCGACACGAAAUAAGAAAAUAGGUACUAAGACAUAAGACCUAGUGCACCCACCUAGUAAUAACCUAUACUUCCAUAACAAGGACUCUAUGAACACGGCCCUAGGCUUACUAACCCGGCUACACAAGACUCUCCAGACUGCAAGCUACAACCCCCACACCCUCAUUAACCUUCUACCCUUAUCCGCGACCUCCACACCUUCCUAUCUAGGUUCAUGUCCUCAGUCAGUUGGAGUUGCUCCAUGUCAUGUCUAAUUUCCUCCCUCUAGUAUUUCUUCGGCCUACCUCUACCCCUCCUAAAGCCAUCCAAAGCAAGCCUCUCACACCUCCGGACUGGGGCAUCCGCACUCCUCCUCAUCACAUUCCCAAACCAUCGCAGUCUUCCUUCCCGCAACUUGUCUUCCAUUUAAGUCACUCCCACCUUCUCCCGAAUAGUCUCAUUUCUUACUCUGUCACCUCUAGUAAGCCCACACAUCCAACACAACAUUCUCAUUUCUGCCACCUUUAAUUUUUGGAUGUGUGAUUGCUUGAUUGGCUAACACUCCGCACCAUACAACAUGGCCGGACGGACUGCCACUUUGUAGAAUUUGCAUUUAAGUUUAAGGGGCACCUUCUUAUCACCCAACACUCCCGAGGCUAGCCUCCACUUCAUCCAACCUGCUCCAAUACGUUUAGAGAUAUCCUCAUCAAUCUCACCAUUCUCCUGAAUCGUAGAUCCAAGAUAAUUAAAACUAUCCGUCUUACAGACAUCCUGGGAGUCUAACCUCACCACCCCUUCGUCCUCUUGUCUCAAGUCACUAAACUUACAUUUCAAAUACUCAGUUUUGGACCUACUCAACUUAAACCCCUUAGACUUAAGGGUUUGCCUCCAAACCUCUAAUUUGUCAUUCACACCCCCUCGCGUCUUAUCAAUCAACACCACAUCAUCCAAAAAUAACAUACACCAAGGCACUUCGCUUUGAAUGCUCCGUGUCAACACGUUCAUUACCAAUGCAAAAAGGAACGGACUAAGAGUCGAUCCCUGAUGCAACCCGGUCUCAAUCAAAAACUGCUCUGAGUCUCCUCCCACCAUUCUCACUCGGGUCUUCCCUCCAUCGUGCAUGUCCUUAAUAGCUUUGAUGUAUGCCAUCGGGACCCCUCUCACCUCCAAGCACCUUCAAAAAACCUCCAUCGGGACUUUAUCAUACGUUUUUUCUAGGUCGAUGAACACCAUGUGUAAAUCAUUCUUCCUUUCUCUAUACUGCUUCACUAAUCUCCUCACUAAGUGGAUUGCCUCUGUCGUCGAGCGACCAAGCAUAAAUACAAACUGAUUCUCUGAAAUAAGCACAACCCUCCUCAACCUUCGCUCGAUCACUCUCUCCCAAAUCUUCAUAGUGUGACUCAACAGCUUAAUACCCCUAUAGUUGUUGCAGCUCUGGAUGUCACCCUUGUUUUUAUAUAAUAGAGUCAUUGUACUCCAUCUCCAGGCCUCAGGCAUUCUCAUAGUCUUGAAAUGUCGUUAAACAAAUCUAUCAACCACCUUAAACCGGCCUCACCAGCAUAUUUUCAAAAAUUCACCGGAAUCUCUUCGAGCCCCGUUGCCAUACCCCUCCGCAUCCUACGAAUAUCCUCUUUGACCUCCUUAACCUUAAAACGCCUACAGUAUCUGAAAUCACAACUCUCCUUCGAGUUCUCCAGCUCCCCCAACACAAUGCCUCUGUCUCCUUCCUCGUUCAAAAGUCUAUGAAAGUACUUCUGCCAUCUCUUUUUAAUGUGAACCUCCUCCACCAAAACACUACCAUCCUCCCCAUUAAUGCACUUCACUUGAUCGAAGUCCCAGCUCUUCCGCUCCCUAGCUUUAGCAAGCAUGUACAACCUUUUUUCCCGUCUUUCACCUAUAACCCCUCAUACAAGCUCUCAAACGCUGUCGACUUAGCAGCCAUAACUGCUAAUUUAGCCUCCUUCCUGGCUACUUUGUAAGCCUCCUUAUACACCCAUUUCUCCUCCUCAUCUUUACUCUCAAUUAACUUAACAUACGUCUCCUUCUUAAUCUCCACUUUCUUCUUCACUUCCUCAUUCCACCACCAGUCCCCUUUAUGCCGUCCUGCCCGACCCCUCGAAACACCCAAAACUUCUCUGGCAGUAUCUGUGAUACCGCUGGCAGCCCUAUCUCACAUAGUAUCCACGUCCUCUCUGCUCUCCCACACCCCUUUUCCGCUGCUUUUUCCCUAUCUCCAGAGCGUUAACUGGCGUCAAGCAACCCCACUUAAUUCUAGGUCGACCCUCCCCUACCCUUUCUCUUUUUGGACUUCUUGAUAGACAAGUCCAUCACUAGAAGCCUAUGUUGGGUUGAAAAAUGCUCACUCAAAAUGACUUUAUAAUCCUUGCAUAGCCCUCUAUCCCCCAUCCUAUGCAGCAGAAAGUCAAUCUGGGUCUUGACUAUCGCGCUGCGGAAGGUAAUUAGGUGAUCCUCCUUCUUUGGAAAACUUGAAUUCACUAUCACCAGCCCAAAGGCCCUCGCAAAAUCCAACAGAGCAGCUCCCUCACCAUUUCUGUCACCGAAACCAAAACCUCCAUGCACAUCGUCAUAUCCUCUCGGUGAUCCCAAUAUGGCCAUUGAAGUCCCCUGCUAUGACAAUCUUCUCCAAACUAGGCACGCUCCUCACCACCUCGUCCAACUUCUCCCAAAAACUCGCUUUCACCUCUUCCUCUAAGCCCACCUGUGGUGCAUACACACUACACGUAUACAAUGCAAAACCCCCAAUGACCAACUUAAUCUUCAUCAGCCUAUCACUGACCCUCAUAACCUCCACCGCCUGCCCUCUAAGCUCCUCAUCCACUAAGGCGCCCACUCCAUUCUGAUGCCUCACACUCCCCGAAUACCACAGCUUUUACCUAUCCACAUCCAUAGCCUUAGAUCGUACCCACCUAGUCUCCUGCACACACGCAAUAUUAAUCCUCCUCUUCUUAAGAAUCUUCACCAGCUCUACGGACUUACCCUGUAGGGUCCCAAUGUUCCAAGACCCUACCUUCAACCUAUUUUCUCUCGCCUCACGCCUUCUUCUAACACCUUUCACCAAACCCGUCUUAGCGCCUGACCUAUACCCCAAACCCACCCCAUCCCUCUCCUCCUCACCCCCUCCCAACACCGCCCUCACCCCCAAACCCCUCAAAUAUGACCCUAUUCCACCAUCAACCCCUCUAGCCACUACUCAACCAAAAUAAAGCCCCAAACCGACGUACCAAUAAUUAAAGCAACGGAAUGGAAACAGUAAGAGAAGGCACGCACAAAGUACCCUAAUAGUCCUAGCAGCUAAAACAAAUGCAACAAACACAACAAUAACCACCACUAAGCACCAAGCAGUCAAUCACCACUUAACCUCCCAGAACAGGAAAACAAGAAACAGUAAAGCAACAACAGACGGGAAACAUGAGCAGAAUAUUAUAAAAAAAUCAACACAUUAUGUAGUAAUUUAAAUAUCAACGAAACUAAAUAGUAAGCAGUAGAUAAAAGUCAAUGGUUUAGAUGUCAUCGGGAUACUCCUACGUGUUGCUGGUGAUUCCGGCAAUUUUAUUGUCGAAAUUGGGUGCCGAAAAUGGGUCGCCGGACAAGCCCGUCGGUGCAUCGCCGGAAUGAUACCGGAGUGUCCUCUGGAACUUGCCGGAACUGGGUCAUUGUACCAACCUGCUCCGACCAACGCUAAGCCUUUACCCGUCGCCGAAGUCGAGUCAAGUCGAGCCGGCGGUAAACCUAAGCCCGCCGACGAUAGUAGUGUCUAUGGGGGAGGGCAGAGGAGAAAGGAGAGAGAAGGGGGUAGAGACGGGGAUGGGGAGAUCUGGGAGGAGAGAGAGAAUCUAGGGAGAGAGGACCUUACCUGUUGCCAGCGUACGUACGUCGUCGUUGGCGUCGGCGUCGCCCGUUGGACGUUAGUUGAGUGAACGUUGAUUGAGUAAAGGUUAGUGAGAGAAACGUUAGGUGAG
rnacentral:lncRNA from 1 species